rnacentral:misc_RNA from 1 species
UACGUAGGUGGCAAGCGUUGUCCGGAUUUACUGGGAGUUAAGAGCGCGCAGGCGGUCGGUCAAGUCGAGUGUGAAAGCCCACGGCUCAACUGGGGAGGGUCAUUCGAUACUGAUCGACUCGAAGACAGGAGAGGGAAGUGGAAUUCCCGGUGUAGUGGUGAAAUGCGUAUAUAUCGGGAGGAACACCAGUGGCGAAGGCGACUUCCUGGCCUGUUCUUGACGCUGAGGCGCGAAAGCUAGGGGAGCAAACGGG